rnacentral:rRNA from 1 species
CGGAGGGUGCAAGCGUUAUCCGGAUUCACUGGGUUUAAAGGGUGCGUAGGCGGAUAAGUAAGUCAGUGGUGAAAUCUCCGGGCUUAACUCGGAAACUGCCGUUGAUACUAUUUAUCUUGAAUAUCAUGGAGGUAAGCGGAAUAUGUCAUGUAGCGGUGAAAUGCUUAGAUAUGACAUAGAACACCGAUAGCGAAGGCAGCUUACUACAUGUUAAUUGACGCUGAGGCACGAAAGCGUGGGGAGCAAACAGGAUUAGAUACCCUGGUAGUCCACGCCCUAAACGAUGGAUACUCGACAUCAGCGAUACACUGUUGGUGUCUGAGCGAAAGCAUUAAGUAUCCCACCUGGGAAGUACGACCGCAAGGUUG